AGCCAUGCACGUCUAAGUACAAACUAAAUGAUGGUGAAACUGCAAAUGGCUCAUUACAACGGUUAUGAUGUACCCGGGAGUUCCGAUGGAUAUUUCCAGUAACACUAGAACUAAUACAUGUCCCUGCGUUUAUUAGUUUCGCACAGUCCGUCGCUGAGUCAUGGUAAACAGUUGAUCGACUCGACGUCCCGGAACAGUUUCCGCCCCAUCAGCUUCGAUGGUUGGGUAUUGGCCUACCAUUGCAACAACGGGUAACGAGGAAUUAGGGUUUGAUUUCGGAGAGGGAGCCUGAGAAACGGCUACCACAUCUACGGAUGGCAGCAGGCGCGCAAAUUACCCAAUGCAGACACUGUGAGGUAGUGACGAGAAAUAAUAAAGCGGGACUUCUGUUUCGCUAUUAUAAUGAGGAAUAACCAAAGGUCAUUCCGAUUAGCAACUGAUGGGAAAGUCUGGUGCCAGCAGCCGCGGUAAUACCAGCGUCAGUAGCAUAUAUUAAAAUUGUUGCAGUUAAAACGUCCGUAGUCUGUACGUCGUCCCAAACUCACUGCAGUCUUCCGUUUUCUUAAUUGAAUGCGGUAGUUUCUGCAGUCACUCCCUUGAUCAAAUUAGGUUGUUCAAGGUAGACCAAGUCUUCAUAUUUUCACAUGGAAUUGGGUGAGGGAACUUAAGAGUUUAAGUUUCUCGUCUUAGGAUCAUCCGGGGUCAUUCGUACUCGUCCGCGAGAGGUGAAAUUCUUGGACCGGACGAAGACGACCAGCAGCGAAAGCAUCUGUCAGGGAUGUUUUCUGCGACAAAGGACGAAGGUCAGGGUAUCGAAGACGAUUAGAUACCGUCGUAGU
rnacentral:rRNA from 1 species